CAGUGUAGCAGAAAUGAUGACGGAUGAUGAUGGCAGCAGCAGCCGUUCUCCUCUGCGUCUGCUGUUCUUUAUGAUUAACAAUGAGCUGAGUGGAAAAUGCUGUUGGCCAACAAGUCUUUUUGAAAGCCUGCAGACAUAUCUCUCAUGCUCUAGCCCCAUGUCUCUCAGUUUUCCCUCAAACUCCUCCCUUCUGAAUGCCUUCUGAUCCUCCUGGCCAUUGAAGAUUUCUCCUGAACAGCCCAACUCCAUGUCGAUAACCUUCGAUGAAGGU